AGAGAAAGCAGAUAACUAUCUGCACGUGACAAAACAGGCUGUGACACCAGCCAGCACAGGACCGGCAGCAGCCGCGGAACCGCUGGGCUCCUAGAACGGCGCCACAGCCCCUCUCCAGCGUGUUUCAGCUCCACACCCACCCAAAUGGGCAGCCCAACUGAGCCUCGCAGAGUCGAAGGGGAAAAGCGGCGCUGCCUCUCCCCCCUCCUCCCACUGUGUCCUGCCAGCGCCCGCCCGGAGCCAGUCUUGCAUGGCAACAAAUGGUAGCAGAAGAUGGCUAUUUCCGUCAAUUUGUGAAAAGGGGGAGAGAGAAAGGAACUCUGCCGCUGUAAGAGCUCUGCACACGCUAAGAGGAGUUGACUUCCGGGUGGAAAACAAACCCGAAGCUCCGGGACCCUCUUCUGUCCUCGCCGGCGUGCUCUCUACCUGCCCGGGAGCAGCCGUGCUGCGGGGGCAGCCGGACUGCAGGGACCGGGAGCUGUGUAGAUUUACCCGAGGACAAAGAGGAGAGUUUGGCAGUGGCUCAGUGGACUGAGCUCGAAGAGUGGCCUGUCAGGGAACGGCUUCUGAAUGGAGACCAGAGGCUCACAGUGGCAGAACCCAGAGAUUCAGGGGCGAGCUCUGGGUUAACAGGAACACCCAGGCCUCUGGGAGAGCCAAACCGCGAAAGAAUACGUCCUCAGUUCAGCGCGAUUUUCCACCACCAAGGAGAGAGAUAGAGAUUUCACUGCCCGAGCCCGGAGGAACUGAGCCUCGCAGAGUUGAAGGGGAAAAGCGGCGCCGCCUCUCCCCCCGUCUUGCUGUGUCCCGCCGGCGCCCGCCCGGAGCUGGUCUCUCACGGCAACAGGUUUUCCUCCAUGUGACCUUCCAGUCUCUCCAGAAGCCUUUUGAGAAGAAGCCCUCCAGGGGAGGCUACAAGAAGUGAGGGGAAAGUGACCA